AAUAUAAAAUUCAAGGGACGAUGAUUCAGUUAUUUCAAAAUCCAAGCGCAAGAGUGUUAUUCAAGUGAAAAAGAAAAAUGGUUGCAGUUCUGUACAUACAUAUUUUGCAUGACAACUUAACCUCUGUUUUGAACCCAAAGUCUAAGAAGCAGGAUUAUCACCAUCACAGCUGCCAAAUGUAGAUACUCUAAUAGAAAUUAGUUCUUCAAAUAGCCUGACACAGCUGACUCAUGUUUGAAAGAAGCAAGAAAGGGAACAAAUGGUCUAUACAUUUUUAGCAAUAGGCAUGAACAAAACUGGCAAACUGACUUCAGCAAACAGCAAGACAUGCAUCUUUAGUCCAAAUUCCAGUAAAGUAACAGCUGCAAUGGUGCCAAUCUUGGCCAAAACUGAAGCAGAUCACUAGAAUUGUGAGCACAUAGAUAUCUAGUUCAACUAAUUGGAAUUUUAGUGUCCAGAUAGUCAUACAUUCCUAAUGUUAAGGCAUGAAUGAAAACUACGCGUAACUCGACUGAUUUGCGACUAGUACAUGAGCAAGCAUGAAAUUUCAGAUCAAUACAUGAUUCAUUCACCUGAUUCAACUAGUGAGAAAACACCAACUUGACAACUCAUGAAACAAUAAAAUCGAACAAAGUUAAACUUUGACUAAUUAGCAACAAGAUUUCAAACAUUUUUCCCAAACAAACCAUGAUCGAAUAGUGAUAGAAGGGUUGAUGAACACACACAGCUACAUGUUUAGAUGAAUUCCAAGACCAGAGGAUUAUAUGGAAAUUCAAUAGCACACAUGUGAAAUCAUGGAAGAUGCUGAAAUCAAGAAGAACAAAGCAACAAAAAUGACAAAUCUCAGCUAUUACUUUAAACUUCAACACGUUUUAUAGUUCAUUCAGAGAUCGAUUCACAACAAGAACUAAAGGGAAGAAAAGAAAUGAACGUGGAAUUAAGAGACUGAAUUAAUACAACACUGAAAUCGACCAAAAGGAAGCAAAUAGCAUCUGAAAAUCAACCCUCGAGCAACAACAACCUUGAACUUCUCAAAUGACUUCCAUUUUAAACCAAAAUCCAGAAUCGAAAUGAAGAAGACGGACUCUAGAGAUUUUAAAAAAAAAACUUUAAACAAUAAUCGACAUGAAAUGAAAUAGCCGAACACUCAGUGAUUUUUUUUUGUUGUUCUAGUAUCAGAUGCAAGGUAUUUUUGGCUUUUUCAUAAUUUUUUAAUAGAAAUGAAUAUGCACAGUAAAUGCAAAUAAUUAGCACAAAUUUCCACAAAAUCCUAUAAAAUUAUAAAAAAUGGAAAAAAUUGUUUUUCUUGUAUUUUAUGGGAAUAAUUCACAUAGGGCAAAAAUCACGUGCUCACAGCUGCCCCUCUUUGCUAGAAAACCCGAACAUUUUUUCGUGCAAAGAUAAAGUGAGCGGAUACGAGUGAUUUUUGCCCGUUUGAAUACUUCGUGGGAAGCAUUUUUGAAAGAUUUGACUACACCCUGCUUCCGAGGUUGCCAACAUAUCCUUGGCUAUAAAGGAAUCAAGUCAGUAUAGUUCGGAAUGUUUCGGUAGCUGGGACUACCAGGAAGCUGUGAUUUCACUAUUACUGAUGCUAUUACUGCUUGCUGAACUCCUUAUUACACCAAGACAAAAUAAAAGAAGCUAGACUAAAUUAUGAUCUAUGAAUUACAAGAAUUCUAUCUAUACUUCUUUAAACUUGAUCUUGCAAUUUCCGCUGCUCUGUUGACUUGUACUCUCCAGGUGAGAUUCCUUUGUUGCUCUCUUGAAUUUUAUUCUGAGGUGCAUUCCCUUUGUUUUUCAGGUGGGCACCUGAUUGCUGAACUUGAAUCGUCUUCCUUCGAACAUUGCUGCUUUCCCUUUGUUCUUCCAAGUGGGCUCCUAAUUACCAACACUUGAACUGCUUCCCUUCGUUCUCCAGGUGGGCUCCUGAUUACCAACACUUAAAUUGCUACUUCCCUUCGUUCUUCAGGUGGGCUCCUGAUUACCAACACUUGAAUUGCUACUCCCCUUCGUUCUCCAAGUGAGAUCCUGAUUACCAACACUUGAACUGUUUCCCUUCGUUCUCCAGAUGGGCUCCCGAAUACCAACACUUAAAUUGCUACUUCCCUUUGUUCUCCAGGCGAGCUCCUGAUUAUCAAUACUUGAAUUGCUACUUCCCUUCGUUCUUCAGGUGGGUCCUGAUUACCAACACUUGAAUUGCUUCCCUUCGUUCUCUAGGUAGGCUCCUUAUUACCAACACUUGAACUGCUUCCAUUCGUUCUUCAGGUGUGCGCCUGAUUACCAACACUUGAAUUGCUACUCCCCUUCGUUCUCCAGGAGGGCUCUUGAUUACCAACACAUGAACUGCUUCCCUUCAUUCUCCAGGUGGGCUCCUGAUUACCAACACUUAAAUUACUACUUCCCUUUAUUCUCUAGGCGGGCUCCUGAUUACCAACAUUUGAAUUGCUGUUUCCCUUUGUNNNNNNNNNNNNNNNNNNNNNNNNNGCUCCUGAUUAUCAACACUGGAACUGCUUCCCUUCGUUAUCCAGGAAGGCUCCUGAUUACCAACAUUUAAAUUGCUACUUCCCUUUGUUCUCCAGGCGGGCUCCUGAUUACCAACACUUGAAUUGCUGCUUCCAUUCGUUUUUCAGGUGGGAUCCUAAUUACCAACUCUUGAAUUGCUUCCCUUCGUUCUCCAGGUGGGCUUCUGAUUACCAACACAUGAACAGAUUCCCUUCGUUCUUCAGGUGGGCUCCUGAUUACCAACACUUCAAUUGCUGCUUCCCUUCGUUCUUCAGGUGGACUCCUGAUUGCUAAACUUGAACUACUUCCUCUUGUGACUGCAUUUCCUUUGAACUAUCUUUACUUGUUUCCCUAAAUGGGUCCUGAUUGCUUGACCCCAAACUGCUUUCUAUCCUUAAAACUCGUGUUGUUCUCCCUUGCUCUCCAGGUGGGUGCCUGAUUUCAACAAAAUAGACAAAACAAAGAAAAUUUUCUGCCCCAGUUUGGUAGCUGGGCACAUCUGUGAGUGUUAGUUGAAUAAUUUUACCAAAUGUCUGUAAGAAUUUGAAAGCUAGAUCCCAUUAUCCAGGAGGGUCCUGAAAACUCCUAGUUAAAUGACAGUUUUAAAGCUAAAUUAUAUCUUCUACAGGUAUGACUUCCGCUAAAUCUUGUUAUCUAAGAAGGUCUUAAAACUACAUCCCAUUAUCCAGGAGUGUCCUGAAAAUCAAAGUCAAGUCUUAUCUUAAGAGUGACAACUUUAAGGCUAAAGUAUACUUCCCUACAACAGAACUUACGCUAAAUCUUGUUAUCUAAUGGAAGUCUUAAAGCUAGGUCCCAUUAUUCAGGAGGGUCCUAAAAAUUUUGAAUUGAAUACUAUCCUAAGAACGAAAACUUCAAAGCCAGCUUAUAUUUAUUUGUGGUAAGACUUAUGCUAGAUCUUGUUACUCAUGCAUGUUUGAAUUUUAAACUAGAACCCAUUAUCCAGGCGGGUCCUGAGAAUUUAUGGUCAAACCUGUCUGGUACUUGCUUUCCCUUACGGAGGGUUUCUCUGAAACAAACGAAAUUUUCUGCCCCUGUUUCAAAUCAAAGAAAAAAUGUGUCAGUUUUAAAAGUGUUGUGGUUAGUUUGUGGCAUUCUUGCUGAAAGUGGUCUCUCCGCUACUGUGCUUUGCUUUGACUGGAUGCCUUGAACUGGCCGAUAAUUGUUUGACUUUCUGAGUGAUCCUCAACCGCAGGACCUUGGAUAACCCGAGUGCUCUAUACCCAAACCGUUGUUUUACAUUUCUGACUCUUCUAUCUGAACCUCUGCAUCUCCCAUGAAAUUGUUAAACCAUUCCACCGAUGGAACUUUUACUGACACUUGGUGUCCCACUUUACAUCAUACUAUCUCUGGAAUGCUUUGGCCAUACUGUGCUUUGUGCAAUUUUGGAAGUUGGUAGUAAGCUUUGAAAUCCUUUCUUAUUUGCUUAAACAAACCGGCAUUGGAAACAUCUUAGAGAAAUAAACCCAAAAGAAAUGAAAUGCAAUGACUUUGAGAAUUAGGAAUAAGGAAGAGAAAUCCAAAACUGGAUGACUGUUUGAAGGAGAAAAAGAAAAGAGACUGAUCUGAGUGGAGCAUCUGGUACCAAUAAUCAUGACAUGCAUUGCGGAUUAAUCAGCCCAGUCUAUCCAACCAAUCAACUUUCAGUUGUCAUAUUUUAUGCCCCGAGAUCUCCAAAACCCAAUUCUUUCGCCAAGUCACAGACCUUGUUUGGNNNNNNNNNNNNNNNNNNNNNNNNNNNNNNNNNNNNNNNNNNNNNNNNNNNNNNNNNNNNNNNNNNNNNNNNNNNNNNNNNNNNNNNNNNNNNNNNNNNNNNNNNNNNNNNNNNNNNNNNNNNNNNNNNNNNNNNNNNNNNNNNNNNNNNNNNNNNNNNNNNNNNNNNNNNNNNNNNNNNNNNNNNNNNNCUCAGCUUUCCAUCGCCUUACGAUGCCCGUGAGGGUUUUCACCAAUAAGACUCUCUCAUUUUUUUCCUUUUUCCUACUUAGACCAGAGUGUUUCCCCUGAUAUGAAUCACCUCCACUUGCUUGACUUGGCAUCUCUCGAAGACUGAUCGGAAGGUCUUCCUUUGGACCGUACUGUAGGCUUUUGGAUAGGGAUGGAAAGAAAGGGUAUCACGAAGGCUCAAAACAACUUGAAUGGGUUCAAACUUACAACUUUUGGAAUAUGAUCUACUACAUAACCAUAACUUCUGCCCCAGUUUCUUUGCCUUUACUUAUCUUUUGCGAUCGCGUUUCUGAACUUUGCUACUGAUUCCAAAGAGGGGUAUGAAAAGAAAUAGAUAAGGCUCAAAGGGGUAACAAAGGAUAAAGUGUUUAGAUAGCAGAACAAAAUGCAUUCGUCAUUCCAAUCUUCAAAACAUGCCAAGUACAAACAAACAUAAUUUAAACCAAAGAGAUCAUACAUAAUAUCUUUCGACUGCAUCAGAAUUGAUAGCCAUAUCUACGCAUUUGCCUUCUAUAUCUGUUAAAUACAAAGCACCAUUAGACAACACUCUCGUUAUGAUGAAUGGCCCCUGCCAAUUUGGGUCGAACUUUCCUUUUGCUUCAGCCUGAUGUGGAAGGAUGCGUUUCAAUACUUGCUGACCCACUUCAAAUUUCUGGGGACGCACCUUCUUGUUGUAUGCUCUUGCCAUUCUCUUUUGAUACAACUGGCCAUGGCAUACUGCUGCAAAUCUUUUCUCAUCAAUCAAACUCAAUUGCUCCAGACGGGUUUUGACCUAUUCAUCAUUAUCAAUUUCGGCUUCAGCAAUGAUCCGAAGGGAUGGAAUUUCAACCUCUACGAGUAUCACUACUUCUGUGCCAUAUACCAACAAAUAAGGAGUUUCCCCUACUGACAAAUGAUAUUUGAAUGGACAAAUGAUAUUUGAAUGGACAAAAUCGACCACUGCUUUCUUGGUCACAGACUUGAAAGUUUUAGCUUCAACCCACUUAUUGAAAUAAUCAAUGGCCACCAGAAUAAACCUGUGCUCAUUGGAUGCUGCUGUCUCAAUUGGUCCAAUGACAUCCAUGCCCCAAGCAAUGAAGGGCCAUGGUGUAGACAUUGUGUGCAAUUCAGAUGGCAGAGAAUGAAUCAAAUCUCCGUGUACUUGGCAUUGAUGACACUUGCGCACAAAACUAAUACAAUCUCGCUCUAUGGUGAGCCAGUAAUAAACCGCUCGAAGAAUUUUCUUUGCCAGAACAUACCCACUUAUAUGCGGUCUGCAGACUCCGGAAUGUACUUCGGUCAUGAUAGCCAUGGCCUGUCUAGCAUCUAUGCAUCUUAACAAUCUAAGAUCUGGAGUUCUUUUGUACAAAACUCUACCACUUAAGAAAAAUCCACUUGCCAAAUGACGAAUUGUUCUUUUUUGAUCACCUAUGGUCUGUACUGGAUACACCCCUAUCCUGAUAUACUCCCUGAUGUCGUGGCACCACGGCUUACCAUCAAGUUCUUCUUCCACUAUGUUACAGUAAGGGUGCUGAUCGCAGACUUGAAUAUGUAGAGGGUCGACAUAAGCUUUGUCCGGAUGAUUUAACAUUGAUGCCAGAGUAGCCAAAGUAUCGACAACCUCAUUAUGGAUCCUUGGAAUAUGCCUAAACUUUACCGAUCGAAAAUGUUGACAAAGAUCAUGCAAACAUUGUCGGUACGAUAUGAGCUUUAAAUCCCGUGUUUCCCAUUCUCCUUGAAUCUAGUGCACCAGAAGGUCCGAGUCUCCCAAGACCAAGACUUCCUGGACACCCAUGUCCACAGCUAACCUUAAACCCAAAAUGCAUGCCUCGUACUCAGCCAUGUUAUUGGUACAGUAGAAACGAAGCUCAGCCGUAAUAGGGUAGUGAUGCCCUGUUUCAGAAAUAAGUACAACUCCUAUCCUAACGCCUUUCAUGUUAGUAGCCCCAUCAAAGAAAAGCUUCCAACUUGUUCCAACUUGUUAAUGUGCAUUACCUCUUCAUCAGGAAAAUAAGUUCUCAAUGGUUCAUACUCUUUAUCGACCGGGUUCUCAGCCAAAUGAUCGGCCAAUGCUAGUGCUUUUAUCGCAGUCCGAGUCACAUAGAUAAUGUCAAACUCCGUGAGCAAAACCUGCCACUUCGCAAGUCUCCCUCUAGUCAUAGGCUUCUGAAAGAUAUACUUUAACGGAUCCAAGUGAGAAAUGAGGUAAGUAGUGUAAGAUGACAAAUAAUGCUUCAACUUCUGUGCUACCCAAGUUAGGGCGCAACAUGUCCUUUCAAGAUGAGUGUACCUAACCUCAUAAGAUGUGAACUUCUUGCUGAGAUAAUAGAUGACUUGCUCCUUCCUGCUGGUGAUGUCAUGCUGACCCAACACACAACCAAAAGAAUUAUCCAGGACUGUCAAAUACAGAAUCAAAGUUCUCCCUGGUUCUGGUGGGACCAAUACAGGUGGGUUUGACAAGUACCCCUCUAUCUUAUCGAAUGCUUCCUGACAUUCAUCAGUCCACUUGACCACAACAUCCUUCUUCAGCAACCUAAAGAUAGGCUCACAAGUUGUCGUGAGCUGAGCAAUAAACCUGCUGAUGUAGUUUAGCCACCCUAACAGACUCAUCACUUUGGACUUGUUCCUUGGUGGUAGUAAUUCCUUGAUAGCCUUGAUCUUUGAUGGGUCCAAUUCAAUACCUCAAAGGCUGACUAUGAAUCCCAGCAGUUUUCCCGAUGGAACACCCAAUGAGCACUUGGCGGGGUUAACCUUAAGAUUGUACCUGCGAAGCCUCUGGAAAAAUUUCCUCAAAUAUCUGACGUGGUCAGACUGCUUCCUGGACUUUAUGAUCACAUCAUCCACGUAGACCUCUAUCUCCUUGUGUAUCAUGUCAUGGAAUAUGGUUGUCAUUGCUCUCAUGUAAGUUGCCCCAACAUUUUUCAAACCAAAAGGAAUGACCCUAUAGCAAUAUGUCCCCCAUGGAGUAAUGAAUGCUGUCUUUUCCGCAUCUUCCUCAUCUAUUAAGAUUUGAUGAUAGCCCGCAUAGCAAUCCACAAAAGACCCAAUCUCAUGCUUGGCACAAUUAUCAAUCAAAAUGUGGAUAUUUGGCAGUGGGAAGUUGUCCAUUGGACUUGCCUUGUUGAGAUCACGGUAAUCAACACACACUCUGGUCUUACCAUCCUUCUUUGGCAUAGGUACAACAUUGGCUAACCAAGUGGGAUACCGCGUGACUCGAAUGACCUUUGCAUCAAACUGCUUUGUGACCUCUUCUUUAAUCUUCACACUCACGUCAGUUUUGAACUUUAUCAACUUCUGCUUGACAGGAGGGAAUGCUGGGUCAGUGGGCAAUUUGUUAACCACCAAGUCAGUGCUUAGACCCGGCAUGUCGUCAUAUAACCAUGCAAAAAUAUCUUUAUAUUCAAACAAUGCUUUAGUUAUCUCUCCCCUGAUUUGCGGUUCAAGAUGGAAACUUAUCUUAGUUUCUGUGACAUUAUCUGGGUCCCCUAAAUUGAUUGCUUCCAUAUCAUUUAGGUUAGGCUUGGAUUUUUCCUCAAAAUGACUUAGUUCUUUACUAAUCUCUUCAAAAGCCUCAUCCUCAUCAUAUUCUGGUUCAUCAUUGCACUCUAUUUCUUGAAUUAUUAUUUCAGAAUUAGAUUGACUUUUAAGACUGGGUCAAAGAUUCCUCAUGCAUGUCAUGUCAUUGAAACUAGCAUAAAAAGAACUAUACAGGGAAGAAAAGAAAAACAAAAAUAAAACAAUCAGAAAUGAUUAAAAAAGGAAAUUGCAUUUCAUUGAAAAUAAAAGAAAACAAGGUUUGUACAUCCAAACAGACGAAAAAUAGAAUCUGAAUUACAACCCUGGAAUAAUCCAGAUAAACUGAAAGAAAAUCAAAGCAAACUACCAAAACUCCUUCCGGGUAGGGAGAGGAGUAACCUCCAAUUGUUAAGCUUUGCAUUCGGCCCGACAAAUUACACAUCUGCUUUGCUAGAACCUUCUCCAACUUCCACCAUGUUCACAUCGUCGAACAACCUCUGGAACCUUUCAAUUAACUCUUCAUUAAUGUCAACCACAGAAUUUGGAACUGUUGUCACUGGGCGUUUCCUGGCACCAGGCUUGACAAAUGACCUGGAGAGAUGCGAGAUAGGCUUUGGAAGUGCCCACGCCCUCUGUUUCAACUUUCUGGCCCUUUUCACAUCAGCGGCUGUGGGUUUGAAUCCCAGACCAAACAUACCCAAGUUCUUAAGGAAGGACACUGGCUGUAUGAUACCCUACAGAGAUGCGCUCAGACUCUUUCAUCAUGACAGUCUGCGAAGGCUUCUUGUGCUCCCCUCCCUUAUGUACUAUCUCGAUCAUGUUCGUUUCUUGAUGGGUUGGCAACGGGUUCCGGUUGAUGUUAGGUGCCUCUAGGGUUUGGAAUUCAAUCCGGUUUGUGUCAAUAAGCUCCUAGAUAGCAUUUUUCAGGUGCCAGCACUUCUCCGUAUCAUGCCCCGGAGUACCAGAACCAUAUUCAUAGCUUACAGAGUAAUCAAGAUUCUUUGGAGGAGGGUUUGGCAAUUUCGACUCAAUAGACCUCAGCAUAUCCAAUUGUCUCAGUUUGUGGAACAAACUAGUAUAGGACUCCCCCAAUGGGGUGAAGGUUUUCUUCCGCUACAACCUCUCAUUUUUAAAUGCUUGAUUGGGCUGGAAACCUGGGCCGAUAGGGUUUCGGUAGGCUCGUGGGGGUGGAUAAGCAUUUUGUGGAUCUGGGUAGGUGUUUUGUGGGGCUGGCACAUGCCAUUGUGCGUAGGUAGGAGGUUGAGUGUAUGUUUGGGCGUGGUGGACAGAAAAAUGAGGGUCUGGUGAUGGAAAGUAAUGCUGAGGUGGAUUAUACGGGGUUUGAGUGUAGGUUUGGUGGUGGGGUCGAGGCUGAGUAUAAUGGUGUGAUGGGCCCCUAGGUCCAAACCAUGAUCCUGAAUCAAUUGUUGCUACAUCUUCUUUCUUCUUCUUUCCGAUUACUCCCCCAGUAUCAUUCUGAAUAGCUUGGGUAGUUGCCUUAAUAGCCGAGUAACUUAGGAUUUUGUUUGACUUAAGCUCUUCUUCUACUAUGCCACCCAUCUUCACUACCUCAUUGAAGGACUUGCCUAUGGACGAUACCAGAUGGACGUAGUAAGUGGGCUCCAGGGCCUGCAGAAAGUAAUCCACCAUUUCGCUCUCUUUCAUCGGAGGGUCAACCCUUGCCGCUUGUUCUCUCCAAUGGAAACCAUACUCCCUGAAACUAUCACUAGGCUUCUUCUCAGUCUUAGUCCGAGAUAAAUGAUAUGGAACAAUCUCGAGGUUGUAUUGGAAAUGACAAGCAAAUGCUUGGGCCAAAUCAUCCUAUGUAUACCAUCUGCUGUGAUCCUGACGAGUGUGCCACUCCAAUGCAGCGCCGCUCAGAGUCAGGCUAAAGUAUGCCAUCAACAACUCUUCUUUCCCACUGGCUCCUCUCAUUUUACUGCAAAAUCCCCUCAAAUGGGCCACCGGGUCUCCUUUCCCGUCAUAUAGAUAGAAUUUGGGCAUCUUGAAUCCUACUGGCAGUUGAACAUCGGAAAAUAGACACAGAUCUUUGUAGGCCACGCUCACUUGGCCUCCCGAUCCCUGCAUGUUUCUGAAUGACUGUUCCAGGCUUUUAACCAUCCUGAACAUCUCCUCCUGUUCUGGAUUCUUAGGUGGUUUCUCAGUCUCAACAGGGAGGUCGAAACGAGGAGUAUAAGAGUAAGGUUCCGGGGCAUUGAAAGUAGGCUCCAGGGGAUAGUAUUGGUUAUCUUGGGUCUGGAAUAAAGGCUCACUAGAAGAUCGGUGGAGUGUAAUGGGUGGGGUGCCACGAAAAUAGGGGUGUCUAGUGGAGGAGGGUAUGAAACUGGUUUGGGUGAUGGAGCUGGUGGUGUUUGGGAAGUGGUGCCUUGGUAGUGGUGGUAAAUAGGAAAGCCUGGAGAUGAAUCAGUAGUUGGAGGUUCCUGGGAUUGAUCCAACGGUGGUACGAAAGCAGGGUUGGCAAGGUAGGAUGGUGGUGGAUGCCCUUUUACCCAUGCCUGGUACAUCUCUACCAUAUGUUGUUUCAGCUUAUACAAUUCCUCUUUCAGAUUAACAUCAGACUCUUCCCCCUCUCUUGACGGAUCAAUAACACUUGCAUCCAGUUCUUGUUUAUCCAUGAUCAACUUGUUUUUGGACAUAGUGUUAUACGGGUGAGUUGUCAGAAUGCCAAACAAACUAACCACCUACCUGUACUGAUUUCAACAACAAACUUGUUAGCGAUUAGAGCUUAACAGAUAGGCAACCGCACGUUGGGGAUGCAAUGCACCUAAGCAGUUAACCAUUUCUAUUAUGCAUUUGAUCGGUUGCUUGCAUCAUCCUGGCUUUUCCUAAUGUCCAUUUUGCAAUUUCUCACUUUUUCACUCCUGCCUUUCUUUGCUUGAUUUCUCGUUGUUCUUUAUUCUCUCAUUUUUCUCUCUUGUUUUGCCAUUGUUUCAUUCCCACAGUUUCUUGUUUUCUCUCCCUCUCCUUUUUUCUUUUUCUUCUUUUUUUUGGUUAUGAUCGAAUCCUAUGGGGAUUGCCUACGUAUCAUGAUGCCGCAUGAAUCAGACCAAGCGUAGUUUUGGGCGAUAAGUGUAAAAAUAAAUAAUAAAAAUAUAUUUUGGGAUUUUCAAAUUUUCCAUAAAAUAAAAGCGUGUUGAUUAUAGCGACUCAUCCUACCGAAUUUAAUCAUAAAAACUAACAGACUCGAAAAAGAGGACUAACAAAAUCCAACAGAAAGAUGAAAAUACAGACUCAAAAACAAACUAAGAAACUCCAACAAAGAAAGUGAAACAUACAGACUCGAACAAAAAUCAUGAAUACAUCAAUGCCUCGACUGCUCCGGGGGCCCGCGGGACAUCAGUCGGUCUCGCCACAGGCCUAUGCGCCAGAUCCCCUUGGAGACGAUAGAUAUCCUCUAUUAUCUGGCGGACAAAGAUCAUUACAGUGGCGAAGAAGAUAGAUCUGGUCAUGUCCUCACACUUACUGCACUUCAUCGUGAUGUAGUCCGCGAUCCUUCUGACCCUUUCCCUUAUGAUGCCAUUUUCUUGCAACAAAUGUCCAAUCUGCUGGGAUCUAGCCUCUAAGAUCUGGGUGGCAGUAUGAUUCUGCUCUUGCAAGUGCUGUAGGUCUCCCUCUAAUUGUGCCAUCAAAGCGUAGCACUGUUCUCUCUCGGCUUUGAAAUCUUUUGCCUGUUUGGUCAUUUCAUUUUCAAGGAUGGUGAUCUUUUUCUUCAACCCCACGAUUCCAUUGUCAUAUUUCUCUUUUAAUUGUUUGACCUAGCGUGCUCGUUCCUCUGCAUUUUUGGCCAAUUUUGUUCGAGCUCUUGCCAGUUCACCUUCGGCUUUGUUCAGAUCAAAACCAUAUUCACCUACUUUCUGCCUAAGGUAACCUAUAAGCUUUUCAUCUUUUGUACUUCUAGCGGGGUUUUCGGCUGCUAUUUUCAUUUCCUGAAUAUGGGUUCGGAGGGCGUCAUUCUCUUUGGCUAGCUUUUUCUUUUCGCCCUCAUCCGCGGCGGCUUGCAAACCAUUCUCAAACUGAAGAUCCCUGACUUGUUUUUCCAAUUUGCCUAUUGUGGCCCUGUACUCAUUCUCCUUGGCCAACCAAGCCCACUGUUCUUUCGACGCCUCAACAAAUUCGUGGAUGUGAGGCUUCUUGGUUGGUCUUUCAUGUUCGGCCAUUGCGGUGUUCUUCUUCCUAUACCAGGCAAGAUAGGCGGGUGAGACCUCGCCUCUAGAUAGGUCACGCACUCGAGUGUUUGCUGUCAAAUACUGGCACUCGUUCCAAAUAUGAUGAACUAUUUGUUCAUGAAAUUGGCCAUCAGAGCUGACUUCGACCGCAUAAACACUAAGAUCUUCAUCUGGGUGCAUAACCUGGCAUCUUCCCAACUGUCUCAUUACCCAGUGGAGCAUAAGGCUGAAUGCCUCGAAGACCCAUUAGGAGGAGGUAAGGACCGGUGGCAGGCAUAUACACAAUUUCUUCAACUGGAAGCCAACCUAGUGUCCACUCUAUUUGCCCGGCAGUGAUGGAGUCUCCAAAUCCUUCUGGCAGCUUGAACCCUGAAAUCCUUGUGUCGAACUCUUCAAUGCAGUUUUUCUCCGUGGACCCAUAACUCAUAUACUGUGGGCAGUGACACAGAUGCUCGAUCAUCCAUAUUUGUAAUAGCAAUUGCAUCCCUCAAAGAAGUCUUCCCCAGCUUUACAAGCUGCGAGAGCUUGGUAUAUCUCAGACACUAUCAUAGGAGCGAGGGUGCUCUUGGAAUUGGUAAUCAAGACAUUGACAACUCCAGCCACCCGCAGAUCGAUAUUCCCAUCCUUCCGGGGAAACACCAUGAGGCCUAAGAAAUCUACCAUGAAAGCGAAACGCCUAUGCUCAUCCCAUUUUGCUCGGUUCCCAUUGCUACAAACCCCACUCUCCGGGUUGUCAAAUCCUCCUACAUGGCCAUACCUCUGGUAUAUGAAGCGUAGAGUGGAAAAACCGAUCGUCAAAUCUGCAUAUUGGACCCCCUGCUUAUUUUUAGAAAAUCCAGGAACUUCUGAGAGGUAACAAUUCUUGGAGCGACCAAAUACUUAUGCCUUAGACCUUCAGUACUUCCCAUAUAACCUGCUAUCUCUUCCAAGGUGGGUGUGAGUUCAAAAUCUGAGAAGUGUAGGACGUUGUGAGCUGGGUCCAAAAAUGUUACUAGUGCCCUUAUUAUGUCUCCUCUAGGCCUGAGCUUCAUCAAUCCGGUGAGCCCUCCCAAAUAAAGGUUGACCACAUCUCGUCCUUCUUCACCCAAAUCUUCCCAAAACAUGAGUAGAUACAACGGAAUCUUCGACAUGACCUUCAUUAGUUAAUUUUGACUAGUGCUCAUUCUGUACAUAUAGUUUAGGGUGAUUGGUUUACACGCAAAGUGAAGCUCAUUUGAAAAACUGAUAAAAGGGGCUAUUUUGCAAAAAUCAAGAAGUCAGGGCUACUUUUGUGAAUACUGCCCUUCAAUACUUUGAAAUGGAAGUUUUUAGGGCUGUGCUCGCUAAGUGGCCAAAAUUCGACAAAACACAGUCAACGGCUAUUCUUGCAAAAACAGCCCUCCGGCAUCCCGUUGGGACAUUCGGCUAGUUAGACAAGAAUGACAUUAACCACUUUAUUUACGACAAAAUGACGAUGCUUCAUAUAUUUUUCAAAAAGCGGGGUUGGACCCGAUAAGAGUUGCCUAUGUAUCCCACAUCCGGUGAGAAUCAAACCCGCGUAGUUCGGCUAGUUUUGACAUGAAAAGGAAAAAAACAAAAAAUCAUUUUGGACUAAUUCUUCUCUUUUCAAUAGACUUUGUUUUUUCAAGGAAUCCUUUUUCUUCUCUUUUUUUUCAAAAAUUCGACAGAGUUUCAGGACAUUUUGGUCAUCAUUUUUGGGAAACGAGUGAAAUCCUCUACCUCGGCUCGGUUUUUCUUUUGGUUUUCCUCACUCAAUGUAGAAGCCGGUCAACAUGAAAUUUGAAACAAAUUAAAUGCACAAGUAGCCCCUAAAAUGCAUCAGGUUGGUCUUUUAUUUUCGGUUACACCUGUCCUAGACGGACCCAACCCUUGUGUUGAUUCCCCAAAGUCAAAUGCACAUGAUAAAAAUAAGCGUUCCUACAAGGGAUACGGCAUGAGGCUGAGUUAUUCUAAGUUUAAAACCUGGGUGUAUUGUUCUAGACCCGGCUUACCCGAGUGGACAACUCGAGCCGAGGGGGCAGCCUACCGGUAACCAAAACAUUAUCCGGCUUUGCAACUUGUCCGAUCCUCAUUCUAAAUUGGGAUAUGACACUAACAGAAAGAAGUCACGCCAGCGUGCACUCCUCAGAAGAUAGAAGAGAGGGGUUUCGUAGCAGUUUAUAUAUACAGUUAAGAUAAUAUCAAAGAAGUAAAAAGCAACAUUUAACACAUUAGGCCCAAACAUGUAGAUAAAAUCAGACAAUAAAUAAAGCCGAAUAUAACAAUUAUUCUAAGCUCGAAUUCUUGAACCCUGCUCUGCAAAACCAGAGAUUCUGGGUUCGAUCCCCAGCAGAGUCGCCAGAGCUGUCACACCUCCUUUUUCCUAUAGCCGAAAGGGGUAUAUGGGAGUUUUUUCCAAUUAAAGUGACAAUCGAAACGAGAUUAUUAUUUAUUCAGAGUUGCCACUUGGGAUGAUUUAUGGUGUCCCAAGUCACCGGUUUCAAAUCCCGAAUCGGGGAAGAUUGGCUCUGUUUUCAAUCCGCAAACACAGAAAUCCGAGUAAGGAAUUCUGUUAACCCGAGAGAAGGUGUUAAGCAUUCCCGGGUUCCGUAGUUUUAGCACGGUCGCUCAACUGUUAUUAUUGACCUAUUUAUUUGAUUUUAAAAUAUUUUUGAAAUCCCAUGUGCAUUUUAUUCCUUUUAAAACCGUUUUAAUAAUCCAAUUGUUAUACAAUUAAUUGUUUGAUUACACAUUGCGAAUCAUAUCACGGGAACUGUAACUAUGAUCCACAACGUGUUUAUUUUAUUAACAAGAUUAAAUUAUGGCCAGGUCACAUGAAUGUACCCCCAAAUUUUUAGAAAUUAAAUGUCACGACUACGUCACAGGAACCGUACUCAUAGUUGUGAUGUUUUAUUAUGACACACCUAGAGCAAGUUAAAAUGUUCAAAGACUAAUUACUAAUCUAAGCUCAGUUGAAACUCCGCGAGGUCAAAUAAAUCAACUAAAAAACUCACAUCAUCAACCCUUUUUAGCUCAUGGUGCCCAACUCAAAUCUAAUCAUCCAAGCACAAUCCCUGAAUACUCAUCAAAACGUAAAAUAAUAAGAUAGGAUUUAAACUUAAAGUGAUAGGGACAUCAUCAGCAAAGAAAAUAAUUUGAUGAAGGAAAAGAAAAUAAACUAACUCUUAUCUCACUAUACUGGACAAACUUUUAAUGCCAUACUCUUCUGACUUAUUUUCUUCAUAUAUUCAAUAGAGUGUUUCAUUGUCAUGGAGUAAAAAUUGAAUACAAAAUCAAGCAACUACUAUGAAAGAACCUGGCUAAUAAAACACUCCAAUGCAACAAUAUAAGAAAUUCUAGAAAAUUUGAUUUACUCCACAUAACCUCAAAAAAUUAAACGCUGCGGCAGAGAAACGAGCCUGCACAAAGCUAUUUGAAGCAUAAAAAACCAAUUGCAACAGUUUGACACAUUCUCAAUUUGAUACCCUAAAAAUGGAUUUUAAACCAACAACUAUAACUAAAGCAAGACUUGGAUUUCCAUUGAUUUAACAGGACUUAAAAUUAGCAUAAAUAUUCAUCCCCAGAUCGACCAAGCUGUCUUUAGCCCCCAGAAUACCCAAAUGCGACCACUCCCCUAGUUAAGCAAACUGAGAAAUCAAUUGCCAAAGAGGGCUGAGGAAAUGUUCAUUGAUAUACUAUUGCUUCAUUGCCAAAUAAAGCUAGCUGAGUAAAAUAGGCACUCAUAUCAAAGUACUACUGCCAAUGGGACAAUGAGAAACUGAGAAGAGAAGACUACAAGAUAUUUAACCUCUUAAGAACUGUUAACUCUAGAAGUGAAACUCAAAUCGAUGGGGAAACUAUGAAUAAAACUUAAUUAUAAAUCAAGGACUUAAGCUAGCAGCAGUCCAGGAAUCGUUAAAAGCCCAGUUCAUGUCCUAGUAUUGGUGAAUAUGCAAAAGAAAGCUAUGAAACUCAAGGGACGAUGAUUCAGUUAUUUCAAAAUCCAAGCACAAGAGUGUUAUUCAAGUGAAAAAGAAAAAUGGAUGCAAUUCUGUACAUACGUGUUUCGCAUGACAACAUAACCUCUGUUUUGAAACCAAAAUCUAAGAAGCAGGAUUAUCACCAUCACAGCUGCCAAAUGCAGAUACUCUAACAGAAAAUAGCGCUUCAAAUAUCCCGGCACAGCUAACUCAUGUUUGAAAGAAGCAAGAAAGGGAACAAAUGGUCUAUACAUUUUUAGCAAUAAGCAUGAACAAAACUGGCAAACUGACUUCAGCAAAAGCUAGACAUGCAUCUUUAGUCCUAAUUCCAGUAAAGUAACAGCUGCAAUGGUGCCAAUCUUGGCCAAAAGUGAAGCAGACCACUAGAAUUGUGAGCACUUAGAUAGCUAGUUCAACUGAUUGGAAUUUUAGUGUCCAGAUAGUCAUACAUUCCUAACGUUAAGGAAUGAAUGAAAACUACGCGUAACUCGACUGAUUUGCAACUAGUACAUGAGCAAGCAUGAAAUUUUAGAUCAAUACAUGAUUCAUUCUCGUGAUUCAACUAGCAAGAACACACCAACUUGACAACUCAUGAUACAAUAAAACCGAACAAAGUUAAACUUCGACUAAUUAGCAACCAGAUUUUAAACAUUUUUCCCAAAUAAAUCAUGAUCGAAUAGUGAUAGAAGGGCAGAUGAGCACACACAGCUACAUGUUUAGAUGACUUCCAAGACCAGAGGAUUAUAUGGACAUUCAAUAGCACACUUGUGAAAUCAUGGAAGAAGUUGAAAACAAGAAGAACAUAGCAGCAAAAAUGACAAAUCUCAGCUAUUACUUUAAACUUCAACACAUUUUGUAGUUCAUUCAAAGAUCGAUUCACAACGAGAACUAAAGGGAAGAAAAGAAAUGAACCUGGAAUUAAGAGACUGAAUUAAUACAACACUGAAAUCGACCAAAAGGAAGCAAAUAGCAGCUGAAAAUCAACCCUCGAGCAGCAACCGCCUUGAACUUCUCAAAUGACUUUCAUUUUUAAACCAAAAUCCAGAAUCGAAAUGAAGAAGACAGACUCUAGAGAUUUAAAAAAAACUUUAAAAAAUAAUCGACAUGAAAUGAAAUAGCCGAACAUUCAGUGAUUUUCUUUUGUUGUUCCAGUAUCAGUAAUAAAAGAACAAUAAAAGCUGAAGAAGAAAAAUCUCUCAAAUUCUUUUCCAAAAUCCUCUCCAAAAAUCCCUGUGAAUCCUCUUCUCCUUACAAAAUUGGAUCCGGUCCCUUUUGACAAUGAGCCCUUGAUGAAUGUGGGGCUCAGAUUGAGUGAAAUUAAUCCAACGCCUCACACUCAUCCAACGAUCGUUCUCCAGAACCUUCCAAUCGCGUGCUAUAGUUCAAAAUCGGGCGAGUGAGAGGAAGCAGAAUCUUUGGUGUCAGAAACCGUUAGAAAUGGCAAGAGGAGAGAAGGAGGGAACGCGUGGUUGGAUAUUGGGGCUCACUUGCCAUGGAUUUGGACUGAAUUGGGUCUUGGUUUGAGUGAGAGAGACGAUUGAAUAGUAACCGCGUCGCUUCUCUGAGUUCUGGGAUUUAGGGCUCGUUGUAUUGUCUGAGUAUAUUUUGGGUGAGUGGGGUGGGUCAGGGGAAUGGGUCGGGCAGCAGGUGAGGGCAUUUGUGCUGGGGAAGGAACUAGGUUAAUUCCAGCCCAAUGAACGAAUCUCCUUCCCCAAAUUCAUUUUCCUUUUCUUUUCUUUUUUUCUCUUUUUCUUUUUCUUUAAUUAAAAAAAUCCUAAAAUUAACUCCUAAAUUAUUCUAAGUUGUCGAAUUAAAC
rnacentral:lncRNA from 1 species